UCAGGAAACUGAUGAACUGUACCAACCCCAGAUUAACCUCCAACCCCGUCUUUCUUUUCCUGCAAUCCCAGACCAUCACUGGAGGUUCAAGAAGAUCAGGCGUAAAGAGGAAGAAAGAUAUCAGAUAACAAGGCAGCGUGGAGGCGCGGCACGUGGUGUCACAUGCUCCGCGCCGCAACCACCGGGAAUGAAGUGACAGGCCGUGGUGGAGCACAGGGACGAAAUCAAGAGAGACUAGCCCGACACCCAGCCUCCACAGACGGCUCUGCACCAGGC